UCUUAGUGGCGGACGGGUGAGUAACGCGUGAGUAACCUGCCUUUCGGAGGGGGACAACAGCUGGAAACGGCUGCUAAUACCGCAUAAUGUAUAUUGGAGGCAUCUUCGAUAUACCAAAGACUUAUCGCCGAAAGAUGGACUCGCGUCUGAUUAGCUAGUUGGUAGGGUAAUGGCCUACCAAGGCUUCGAUCAGUAGCCGGACUGAGAGGUUGAACGGCCACAUUGGGACUGAGAUACGGCCCAGACUCCUACGGGAGGCAGCAGUGGGGAAUAUUGGGCAAUGGGCGAAAGCCUGACCCAGCAACGCCGCGUGAAGGAAGAAGGCUUUCGGGUUGUAAACUUCUUUGACGAGGGACGAAAAAAAUGACGGUACCUCGAAAACAAGCCACGGCUAACUACGUGCCAGCAGCCGCGGUAAUACGUAGG
rnacentral:rRNA from 1 species